rnacentral:tRNA from 1 species
GGGCCGUUAGCUCAGCAGGUAGAGCAGCGGACUUUUAAUCCGUUGGUCACUGGUUCGAAUCCAGUACGGCCUACCC